rnacentral:lncRNA from 1 species
CCGCUUUCAGGUGUGCAAUUGAGUGGCAUUAAGUACAUUCACGAUAUUGUGGGAUCCUUUACCACUACCCUGGUUACUGGUCAUCUUUUUGGAAAGUAUGUUUUUGAUUCCAUGGACUGUUACAGAUCACCUCCAUGAUUUUCUUUUGGUGAUUCUGUUGCUGUUCUUUACAUAUGUCCUGAUGUAGGGGAGAAAUGGUUUUCUGUUCCUUAAAGCCAACAUAAGUUAACAGCAUCAUUUGCUGCUCUGCUCUUAACAAAAUAAAAGAAUAUAGUCUCUUGCAUUGGAGCAGUUUUGUCAUGGAUUAUGUAAAAGCAUGUGGCACCUACAAGAGUCCAGGUCAAGAAAGACAAGACAGUAAAAGGAACAUAGAAGAGCACAGUGGAUAAUAAAUAAUUUGAGAAGAGUGUGAAGUGUGCAAAUAGGUAAGGAGUCAGGUUAUGUGCAUCAGGAUGGCCAACAAUAGUACAAUUUUUUUACAUUCCUAUUUUAACUCUACUUGAAUGCCAUGAAGUGGGAGGUAAAUAAUCCCAUUUUAGAGAUUUUACAUAGGUGAACAACUGACUUCCCAAAUUGCCAAGUGACAAACCCUACCUGCCUUGAGUCACUCUGGUUGAUAAAUUCUUCCUGGAAACUGCCUUUCCCCUUCUAUUUCAGUGAGUUCAUUUUCUUCUGUUUUGUCACCUUCCCCUCCCUUUGAAGCUACUUCUUUGUUUUAUUUUGUUUUGCUGUACUCCGCUAUCUAUCCAGUCAGUGUUUGUAUUUUCAAGAAUUCCAUUCUGAACACACUCUUCAGCGUGAUUUCCCAGGGCAAUUUUCAACUAUCACAUAUGUGUCAAUGACCCUAAGUUUAUAUCUCCCAGCUUUAAAUUUCUCCUAUACCUUAAACCCAUAUUUUAAAAUAUGUAUCUUAAGGUGACUAUCCUGCAUUCUUCCCAAAUUCAUCAUGUUCAAAUCUAAGUAAUUAUAUUUUACUACCCAACCUCUGGUAAUCUCCUUAGCUACAGAAAUCCGUAUCCAAAGUAGUAUCCCAGACUAAAAAACUCGGAGAUAUUUUUAUCAACUUUCAUCAGCUGCCUCCCUGUUUUCACCAUGCUUCUAAGAAUUUAAUUACACCUACCAAAUGUCUCUUGAAUGGGUCUCUUUCCAUUUCACUGAACAAUUUUAGGAUCAUUUAAUAAGAAAU